rnacentral:rRNA from 1 species
AACGAACGCUGGCGGCGUGCCUAACACAUGCAAGUCGAGCGGGAAAGUUCCCUUCGGGGAGCGAGUACAGCGGCGAACGGGUGAGUAACACGUAGGUAACCUACCCUGGAGAUUGGGAUAACCUGCCGAAAGGCGGGCUAAUACCAGAUAAGACCACGAGGGCUGCGGCCCUUGAGGAAAAGAUGGCCUCUGCUUGCAUGCUAUCGCUCCGGGAUGGGCCUGCGCGCCAUUAGCUAGUUGGUGAGGUAACGGCUCACCAAGGCCGAGAUGGCUAGCUGGUCUGAGAGGAUGGCCAGCCACACUGGGACUGAGACACGGCCCAGACUCCUACGGGAGGCAGCAGUGGGGAAUAUUGCGCAAUGGGCGAAAGCCUGACGCAGCGACGCCGCGUGGGUGAUGAAGGCCU